UUAGAAGCCUCACUAAACAUUUUAGAGCUUGCAAGGCAGAUGGGAUUAAUUUUCAUUAGCACAGCAGACCGCUAAUCUUAGGGGGUAAAGAGGAUGCUAAGUGCAAGUGCUAGAAACAAACCAUUUUGAACUACAGUUGCAUUCUAAUCAGGCUGAGUGGAUAAACAUUAGAAGUAACUCGUGAAUGUAAAGCAAAACAGAAAUGAUAAAAGCAGGGAAGCUUUAUGUAGUGGAAGACAAAGGCUUUAAAGAGGAACCUGAGGCCUUAAGCCCAGUUCUUAUCUACCUGUGUCUGAGGGUCAGUGAGAACUAGUGAGCCAAGGAGUCUAGUCACCUGCUGGGAUUAAAGGCUUGCGCAUGCCACCACUGCCUGUUUUCUCCUUCUUUAUCCUACCUCCAUCUUUGCAUUCUCUUAAAAGAAGUAAGAGGUAAAACACUAUGAAAAUACUUUCCCAGCUAAGGGGGAAUGUGUUGUCUGAAGGAAAAAAUAUGUGAAAUUUGAGUGUUUAAAUCUUCUUUUCUGGAGCCAUUGGAGAUUUUGGUAUAUUUCAGUUGGGUUUGAUGUUUAAAUGUGAUUGAUGUAAAAGAGUAUACUCUUUAUUUAUAGAUAAAAUAUCUUGCUGCAGACGGACCUCACUUGGGUCCUUGGGUUCCCAUUACAGGUGGGCAAGGAGUUGGCACAGAUGACAAAUACAAACACAAGAGAGUAUGGUAUCUGAAUGUAUUUUUGUCAAAGAGAGCAUCAGUCUUUUAUAUUACAGGAAACAAAGAAAUUAAGUGAUAUAUUAAGGCCAUUCAAGGUACAUUGAAUUUAUCUGAUGCAAAAUUACUUUUACAACAAAACAGAGGAAUGCGUACUUAAAACCUAACUGGAACCAACUGGGAUAAAAUCAAUGUUAACAACUGGGAUCAAAAGCAGCCCCACCUAAGGUCAGCUUAAUCUUACAAGCCAGGGGCAGGGGUUUCAUGCCCUUGCCAUAGUUCCAAUUCUAGUCUAUUGUAUAGUCCACCUUCCCCCUAGGCCAUUGUAAAUUCCUGUGUCUGGGUGUAACUCGCUAUCUAUCCUUCUAAGUAUUUACUCUAGUUCCUCCCUAGACCACAACCUUCCUUCUUCCUAGAUAAUUGUAAAUUCUUGUGUAUGGGAGUAGCUCAGCUAUUAUUCUAAGUGAUAGUGUGGGGGGACUUUCUACUAAUAAGAAAUGUAGUCUGCCAUACAUAACUAUAAUAAGAAUUCUAAACUUACUUUGCUAAGCUUGCCCUGAGAUUUCUAACACUAUGUAGUAGAUAGCAAAGCCUGAUUUCUUUCACUGGCUCUCUUACAAUACUAGAGGCAAUUCUGAAUGUCACUGAAUAGGCAACAUUCUUACUGAAUUCAAAGCCCAUGGUGGGCUCAAGAACUACCUAGGGUAUUGGUGAAAGCCAGGAAGCAAAGUUCAAUUUUGCUUAGGUAUUUGGCAAGUCGUUGCUUGGAGACACCUAUAAUAAAACAAUACUGAGAGAAAGCACACAGAUCCGCUCACCAACUAAAGCAAGGACAUUGGAGCAUUCGUUAUACAGGAUGCCACGGUUCCAGGAGACUAAGUUUCCAUGAACUUUUCACCUCUGUCCAGGUUUCUAGGCCUGUCGCACUGGUCACUACUGGAGUGGAUGUAGCAAUAGCUGACUAGUUUGGCCUGAGCUCAGCCAUGAGAUAAUAUUUUAGUGCUUUUCUAUCUACAAAUUGUCUUCCUAUAGGCAUAAUAUAUUUAGCUGUGCCUGCCAAUGGUAUAUCUUCUUGAUUAAAAAAAAAAAGAUAUAUUUAAAAGAGUUCCACCAUACCUUUUACACCUGUUAGCUUUAGCAGCUUUCCUUGAAUGUGUUGUAUUAAAGUAUGAAGUAUAAUGGUUUUCACUAACCACUCACACACUUUGGGAGUGGAAUUGUUCUCUUUCCUUUGGAUGUGAGACAAACUGUAGAAAAGGUUAAAGCUCUGUCCACGCUCUGUGCUUCGACCAGAACUGUUGCUCAGACACAGGUGUUCCUAGUCACAUUCCAGCACUUUCUCCAUCCUCUCCCUUGGCUCUGUCCCUUGGUGAUGCUGUUUCAGUGGGUCAGCUAACAUGUGUAUUCUGAUCCUUAAUCCCUGACUUUUCCACUUGAUGUGAAUGAAAUUGAAUGUUUUGUUUUGAAAUGGAGAGAGAAUGCUUCAGUGCAUCUAUCUUUACAGUGUACCUAAUAACUUGGUCAGCCUCACAGGAAUGAUGGGAUGUUUUUUGGACAUUUUGGUGAGCUGGAAAGCAAACUUUUGGGAGAAUUUACUAA
rnacentral:lncRNA from 1 species